GACGGAGGAUGCAAGUGUUUAUCCGGAAUCACUGGGCGUAAAGCGUCUGUAGGUGGUUUAAUAAGUCAACUGUUAAAUCUUGAGGCUCAACUUCAAAAUUCGCAGUCGAAACUAUUAGACUAGAGUAUAGUAGGGGUAAAGGGAAUUUCCAGUGGAGCGGUGAAAUGCGUUAGAGAUUGGAAAGAACACCAAUGGCGAAAGCACUUUACUGGGCUAUCACUGACACUGAGAGACGAAAGCUAGGGUAGCAAAUGGG
rnacentral:rRNA from 1 species